CUCAACCGCAAGGAGGGGGAUGCCUAAGGCAGGGCUAGUGACUGGGGUGAAGUCGUAACAAGGUAGCCGUACCGGAAGGUGUGGCUGGAUCACCUCCUUAAAGGGAGACCUAAUUCAGGUAGGAGACGAAAAAAAAGUAGUCGCUACCAAGAAUCAAUCCCAAAAGGUCGGAGCGAGGCGAAAUUGGCUUUCAAACUAGGUUCUGGGUUCACACAAGACCUGAAUCAGGAACAAGGGCUAUUAGCUCAGGUGGUUAGAGCGCACCCCUGAUAAGGGUGAGGUCCCUGGUUCGAGUCCAGGAUGGCCCACCUGUACAGGUGGCAAAAAGAAAGAAAAGAAGCGAGGAAUCAGCACCUUAUCUUAUUUAUAUAGUAAGAGAGAAUGCUGGCUCUGAGUUCAGAGUCCAGAGGAACCUUGAAAACUGCAUAGAGCUAGGUGAAAAAGCCAAAAAAGAAGACCGCAAGGUCAAGCUAAUAAGGGCUAACGGUG
rnacentral:misc_RNA from 1 species